UAUAUAACUGUAUCUGAAUAAAUUAAACAAAUUGGAAUGAUACAGUGAAGAUUAGGAUUGGCCCCUGAGCAAGGAUGACACGUACAAGUCGAGAUAUGGUCCUAAUUUUU
rnacentral:snRNA from 1 species